GAAGUGCGAUAAGCAAUGCGAAUUGCAGAAUUCCGCGAAUCAUCAGAUCUUUGAACGCAAAUGGCGCUGAAAGGAUAUCCUUUCAGCAUGUCUAUUUCAGUGUCUGAGAGGUUUCAUACUAAUCUUAAUGUGAUUGAAGGGUUGAAUGAUGAUUGGUACUCUCCUCUCUCAUUCGAUUCUUCUCUCAUGAAAGAUGCGUGAGUGGAUCUUUCGGUCCAAUGAAGUGGUCACAUCACUCGCAUGUGAUUUCAUUGGAGAAAUCACCGAAUUAUCCGUAUACUCACAGUAACAACUACCCCCGAAAAAAUAAGGGGGAAAAACACCUUCCAUACCCUGCAUCUGAGAUAGACAAGAUCACCCGCUGAACUUAAGC
rnacentral:misc_RNA from 1 species